AGAGGAACCAUUCAUCUUUUCGUUCAUUUUGGAACUCCCGAAAUUGACCGACCGCUAUCACUGAAACUAUGGGACUAAUAUGGGCAGGCGCCACAUGUGUGGUCAGUCAAAACUUUAACCCGGUGGUGAUUCGGCUGUAAUUGUGGGAUCUGAGCACUAUUUGGACAACUUGGGCGCUCAGAUCCAGGCUAUGGAUAUCAUA